CACCUGGGAAGAGCUAGCACCAUGCUUUCUGUAGAGGAAGAAGGAAGAUCUCGGUAAUGAAAGAAGCGACCUCAGACAGGAGCCCUAAGACUGAGAGGCGAACCAAUCCUACCUUGAAUGGUUUCUCUCAAAUCCUUUGUCCCAGGAACAGAGACAGGGCUCUUCCAGAUGCCUCCGGCUGUCCUCUCUCUCAUAUUUGCAACAAAACUUUCUCCCCACUCAAAAGAAAGGGAGCAGCCAUUUUUCUUUUGGGGUGGUGCUGGGAAUUGCACCCCAGGGUCUUGUGAGUGUGCUGGGAGAAUACUUUACCACACACCUACCUCUCCAGCCCAAGCCACAGUCUUUCAAAACAUCUGUCUUAUAGUAUAUGAGAGUACCAGCAAGCAGUUCUGAGAAUUCUUUAAAAAAAAAAAAAAAGAAAGAAAGAAGAAAGCAUAAAGAGUUUAUUGGGGCUUGUCGUUUUGGAAGGUGAGUCCAUGACUAUCGUGGCAAGGAGUGGCCCUGGAGCAGUAGCUGAGAGCUCAUUUCUGAUACACAAGCAAGAGGCAAGAGGACGAGGCGGUUCUGAGAAUUGUAAGAAUGCGUGUGAGAGGACAGCACCGCACGGAUGCCAGUCGUUGCUGUCAGGAUCUCGCCCUAGUCACAGGCAUCUCUGCGGUCAACGCGUCAGAUGAGUGAUGAUCCACUUUAAAUGUGGAAGAACAUUUUCUACGCAGACACCCACAAACCCUACUAUGAUUUAAAGCUGAGAUCCCAAAGCCCUCUUGCACAUACAACCAAACUAAACUGGCCUGGUGAGCAGUGCCCCCGUAGAGAUGGAGAAAUGUGAAACUAAUGAAGGAAGUUCCGGCAACCGCUGUCUCUGGGAACUUCUGGAAGGGUGCGCUUCCCAUAGCUCUCUCUCUGCCAAAAGCUUCUCAGGUUCCAGCUAAUUUGAGUGUGCCGCUUCUAAUCUGAGUGACUGCUAUUUUCAUUUGAAUGUAA